AGAGUGAACGCUGGCGGCAGGCCUAACACAUGCAAGUCGAACGGCAGCACAGGGGAGCUUGCUCCCUGGGUGGCGAGUGGCGGACGGGUGAGGAAAACGUCGGAAUCUGCCUAGUUUGUGGGGGAUAACGUAGGGAAACUUACGCUAACACCGCAUACGACCUACGGGUGAAAGCGGAGGACCUUCGGGCUUCGCGCAGAUAGAUGAGCCGACGUCGGAUUAGCUAGUUGGCGGGGUAAAGGCCCACCAAGGCGACGAUCCGUAGC
rnacentral:rRNA from 1 species